GAAAUGCGAUAAGUAAUGUGAAUUGCAGAAUUCCGUGAAUCAUCGAAUCUUUGAACGCACAUUUCGCCCUCUGGUAUUCCGGGGGGCAUGCCUGUCCGAGCGUCAUUGCGAACCCCUCAAGCACGGCUUGUGUGAUGGGCCCUCCCGCGUCUUGGUCGUCAAGACGGGCCCGAAAUGCAGUGGCGGCUUCGCGGUUAUCCGAUCAGCCAGAGCGUAUGGGGACUUUCUCUCUGUCACACGCCCGCGGCGCGGACCGACGCCUGUCAACCUUUAUUCAUCUUUUUCUCGGUUGACCUCGGAUCAGGUAGGGAUACCCGCUGAACUUAAGC
rnacentral:misc_RNA from 1 species